UUUGAAAGCUGGCUCCGGCCCGCAUUGUAAUUUGCGGAGGAUGCUUUUGGUGAGGUGCCUUCCGAGUUCCCUGGAACGGGACGCCACAGAGGGUGAGAGCCCCGUAUGGAUGGACACCAAACCUGUGUAAAGCUCCUUCAACGAGUCGAGUAGUUUGGGAAUGCUGCUCAAAAUGGGAGGUAAAUCUCUUCUAAAGCUAAAUACCGGCCAGAGACCGAUAGCGCACAAGUAGAGUGAUCGAAAGAUGAAAAGCACCUUGAAAAGGGGGUUAAACAGUACGUGAAAUUGUUGAAAGGGAAGCGUUUGUGACCAGACUUGCGCCGGGCAGCUCAUCAGGGGUUCUCCCCUGUGCACUCUGCCCGGCUCAGGCCAGCAUCGGUUCUCGUGGGAGGAUAAGAACGGUGGGAAUGUGGCCCCCCUCCGGGGGGGUGUUAUASCCUGCCGUACGAUACUCCCGUGGGGACCGAGGUUCGCGCUCCGCAAGGAUGCUGGCGUAAUGGUCAUCAACGACCCGUCUUGAAACACGGACCAAGGAGUCGUCCAUUAGAGCGAGCGUUUGGGUGUAAAACCCGCACGCGUAAUGAAAGUGAACGCAGGUGAGAGCUUCGGCGCAUCAUCGACCGAUCCUGAUGUUCUCGGAUGGAUUUGAGUAAGAGUUUUAACGGACGGACCCGAAAGACAGUGAACUAUGCUUGUAUAGGGUGAAGCCAGAGGAAACUCUGGUGGAGGCUCGCAGCGGUUCUGACGUGCAAAUCGAUCGUCAAAUAUGAGCAUGGGGGCGAAAGACUAAUCGAACUGUCUAGUAG
rnacentral:rRNA from 1 species